rnacentral:rRNA from 1 species
CACGUAGGGUGCGAGCGUUGUCCGGAAUUAUUGGGCGUAAAGAGCUCGUAGGCGGUGUGUCGCGUCGGCCGUGAAAACCUGCAGCUUAACUGUGGGCUUGCGGUCGAUACGGGCAUCACUGGAGUUCGGCAGGGGAGACUGGAAUUCCUGGUGUAGCGGUGAAAUGCGCAGAUAUCAGGAGGAACACCGGUGGCGAAGGCGGGUCUCUGGGCCGAUACUGACGCUGGAGGAAGCGAAAAGCGUGGGGAGCAAACAGG